GUAGUAAACUUAAUCCAACCCCUAUUCUAACACUACCACUUGGGCCUUGGGGGCCCCCUUUAGCAGAGGGUUUCUCUGUUGUAUGCAUUCAUGUUAGGUAUUCUGUGUUGAGGACAUCUUCCACCCACCCAUCAUUCAGAGUCCCUUAAAAAAAAGUUGGUUAAAAGGUAGGGCCCUUCUCACCCCCUCUAAGUGUAUAAAAUAAUGAAGAUGAGAAAAAAAACAACCGAUUAAUUUUACAGGCAUAAAAUAGAUUUACAAACUUUAAAUUUCACUUUAGAAAUCCGCUGUAAACUACCUAAAAUAAUUUAUUAUCAGAUGAAUAUUUUCAUCCCUUUAGU